rnacentral:rRNA from 1 species
AUGGGACAGGGCAUAGAUACCUCGAUCCCCGCGCCGCUUUUUUCGCCAUGUAUCACGUCCGCGCAACUGUUUCAGGAUAUGAUUAGAUCGACCGGGCCCACCUGUCAUCCACUCGGAAGGGAUCUUAUAAACGCGCCCGGCGAGGGUUUUUUGAGUAGUGCCUCAGCAUUCUCUUUCUGCUCCCUUCGUCUCCGCCCAACGCGCUCGCUCUCGCCUCCGCACAACUUCUCCUCGCACGUCUCGCCGGCAGCCAUGGUCAAGGAGAAGACGGCGGCGCUGGAACGCGCGAAGAAGGCGUCGGCGACGGAGAAGGCGAAGGGGAGAUCCACCAGUCGCGGCGGGUCUUCGUCUAGAUCUCGCCUGCCGAAAGGCUGGGUCCAGGGAGAUUGGAUCCAAUCGACCAUCACGGAGACGGAUCUCCUCAACAUGGCCAACGAGGGCCUGAUCCCUCAUGGAGCUGCAAGGCUUCCGGGGAAAGAGUGGCAGCCCCAGCCGGAAGAGGGUGAGUGCGUGCUUCUGGCUACCCAUGUCGACCGCGGAUUUUCUUUGCCGCCGAGCGUUUUCUUCCGUGGUUUCUUGAACUUCUUUGGAGCGCAACUCCACCACUUCACCCCGAAUUCUAUCGCCUAUCUUGCCGCGUUUGUGUCCAUGUGCGAGAGUUUUCUGGGUUGUCGACCGCAUUGGGGCUUGUUCAAGCACAUAUUCACGUGUCGCUCUCAGACUGUGAAGAAGGCGAGCCCAGGCGACGAAAAAACCCAAGUUGUCCAAAUGUGUGGGGGUCUGGGGAUCCAGGUGAGGAACAAGAGCACCUUCCCAGCCAUGACAUUUCCCGAGUCAGUCAGAGGCUGGCAGUCGACCUGGUUCUACUGCCAGGAUCAGCCGACGCCGGGGCAGUCGAGUGGACUCCCUCAGUUCACCAUGGGCCGAGUGAACAAGCCCUCCUCUCUGAAGGUGAUUCCGGAGGAGAAAGCUGACGUGAAGAUGCUGAUGGAGCGUGUAGUUCAGUUGGUUCGGGAGGGAGUGACGGGUAUGGAUCUCCUGGAGGUUUUUCUUAGGCGUCGUAUCCAGCCUCUUCAGUUCCGGAGCCAUUGCAUGUGGUUGUACCGCGGGACUGAGGAUGAGACUCGGGUCAAUCCAGAAGCAGUCGACGAUGCCACUCUGGAAAGGUGGAUGGCCGCUAUUACUGGGAACAAGGAUAACCCUCGCGGAGCCAGAAGGAUUCCUCCACUCGACCACCACAGUGAUCCAAACAAGGUCCUCACUGAGCUGUACUCAUUGCCCAAUGGAGCACAGGCUCCGACUGAGGAGGGAGAAGCGAGCGGGGGCGAGAGCCAGGAGGAGGAGUGGGACUCGGACGCCGCUGGGGAUGAUGAUGAUGAUGAUGACGAUGAUGAUGAGGAGGAGGAGGACGAGGAAGAGGAGGAGGAGGAGGUCGCACCACCGCGCUCGGAAAGGCGGUCGAAGCUUGUCCAUGACCCUGCGACUGAACGUGGCAAGGGGGUUGCGACUGUUACAUAG